GGGAGGUGGGCCAGGCACCAACAGCUCUACUUUGGGAGGAAUGAGAAACUCUUUGCUGAGGAAUUCGAAAAGAUUUUAUCAUGAAGAUGACAGUUGGCUUGUAAGGAAGAGAAAAGAGGUCAUUAGACUGAGAAUGGGGUAGCCAUGGUAGGGAGCAAAGAGUAAUUCAGGUAACAAGUUCACUGAGUUCAACUUUGGAGGAGAUUUGUGGUCAGAAUCAAACAUACCUGAUUUCAGCAUUCUUCUGAACCCAGUGGAAGCUCAUCUACCAGUUGGCUACUGAGAGGGAAAAUUUCGAUGGUUAUAUGGGUCACGUGAAAAGGCAAUAUAGUAAACUUGCACAGAAAUUUCCAUAGACGGAGCUGGAGGUGACCAGGAAGAUGGGAGGCUGGAAGAAACAGUCACAGCAAGGGCUGGGCCUCUCCAGAGCGCCCACAUACUCACAAAAUGCUGUUCCAUGAAGAGGUCAAGAAAAGAGGCUUGCCAAGAACACUUUCUUUUGGAAAGCCUCUCAGGAAAAGCAGCUGCUUCAGGAUGAAGAUGAAGAUCUUCCCAGUCACUAACUGCCAGAGACUCACUGAAAUGGGUGAUGAACAAAAACUUCCCACCUUUGUCAGGAAGCUCAUGGCCAGAGAAGUUGCUGCUGAUGCUCUGAGCGAAGGAUGGAAGGGUUAUGUGCUUGCAGGAAACUGCAAAGAAAGGAAAGAGAAGACGGCUGAACAAAACCAGUAAAAACCAGUUGAAGGCAACAUGAAAGUCUGACUGGACCUGACAUAGACCCUACAACACAUCAUAUGUUCAUUGUAAUACAUUGCAUAUUAUGGAACCUACCCACCGAUGCCAUGACAGUUUACAACUGCCAUGGCAAUGGCGGGAUACAACCAUAUAAGGAAAGAAAAGAGGUGGCAUCCUUGUUCCCCUGAAAAGCCUGCCUAGUUCCCCUAAUACCUGUGAAUAUUCCUCCCCUUCAUUACUUUGACCUCUUAUAACAGCUCAAUCGCCUCAAGAGCUGAGAAGUUGAUUGGUGAACUUUGCUCCCACUUCUCCAUUCUUUGUCCAUUGAAUAAAGCUUGUGCUAUUGCAUACUCA
rnacentral:lncRNA from 1 species